UACAGAGGUCUCAAGCGUUGUUCGGAUUCAUUGGGCGUAAAGGGUGCGUAGGUGGCGCGCUAAGUCAGGUGUGAAAUUUCGGAGCUUAACUCCGAAACUGCAUUUGAUACUGGCGUGCUUGAGGACUGGAGAGGAGACUGGAAUUCCUGGUGUAGCGGUGAAAUGCGCAGAUAUCAGGAAGAACACCCGUGGCGAAGGCGGCUCUCUGGAACGCAACUGACGCUGAGACGCGAAAGCGUGGGGAGCAAACAGG
rnacentral:rRNA from 1 species